rnacentral:tRNA from 1 species
GAGAAGGAAGAAACAUAAUGGUUUAUGUGAUUGGCUUGAAACUAAUUUAAGGGGGUUCGAUUCCUUCCUUUCUUG